AAGUUCCGGGCGGCGCUCGUCGCCGGGCAAGAUGGAGCAGUCGAGGGCAAGAUGGAGCAGUUGAGGGAGAGGAGAGUCAAGGGUGGCGGCGUAUUCGGCGGUGGCUGUCGUUGUCCGCCGGAGGAGAUUCGGGGGAGAGAAGGGGCGGGUUUGGCGUGAAGAGGGAGAGAAGAGAGAGGCAAGAGAGGCGUGUGUGUGUGAGCGGCUGAAGGGGGGGAAGAAAAGGGGGAUAAGUGUGGAUUAGGGCUUGGUUAGAGUUUGGGCCGAUUUUUAAUGGGCUGGGUUUUUUUUUUUUUUGAUUUAAUUUUCAGUGGGCUUGUGAAUUGGGUUGAUUUUAAUUGAGAGUUGGGCCGAUUUUCUUUGCUUGAAAUUUCGAAUUGGGCUGAGUAUUUGGGCCGAGAAUUUUAUUUAUUUUUGUUUCAGCUGGGCUUUUAAUUAUUAAAUCUGUUGGGCCUUUACUAAUUUAUUUAAUUGGGCUGUGCAGUUUCUUUAUUUUAAAAUGGACUACACUAUUUAAUUAAUUAGACUUAUUAAGUUUGAUUAAUUAUUUUAAAUUUUUAUAAUAAUAUUAAAUUAUUAUUAUGUGCAUAUUUUAAGUAAUUACUUAUUA
rnacentral:lncRNA from 1 species